rnacentral:rRNA from 1 species
ACUGGGCGUAAAGCGCAUGCAGGCGGCCUGUUAAGUCAGAUGUGAAAGACCCCGGGGCGUUAACCUCGGAAUUGCAUUUGUAAACUGGCAGGCUAGAGUCUUGUAGACGGGGGGGUAGGAAGUUUCAGGUGUAGCGGUGAAAUGCGUAGAGAUCUGAAGGAAUACCAGUGGCGAAGGCGGACCCCCCUGGACAAAGACUGACGCUCAGAUGCGAAAGCGUGGGGGAGCAAACAGGAUUAGAUACCCCUGGUAG